rnacentral:rRNA from 1 species
UCAUGCCCGAAAGGGUAGACCUCCCACCCUUGUGUAUUAUUACUUUGUUGCUUUGGCGAGCUGCCUUCGGGCCUUGUAUGCUCGCCAGAGAAAACCAAAACUCUUUUUAUUAAUGUCGUCUGAGUACUAUAUAAUAGUUAAAACUUUCAACAACGGAUCUCUUGGUUCUGGCAUCGAUGAAGAACGCAGCGAAAUGCGAUAAGUAAUGUGAAUUGCAGAAUUCAGUGAAUCAUCGAAUCUUUGAACGCACAUUGCGCCCCUUGGUAUUCCGGGGGGCAUGCCUGUUCGAGCGUCAUUUCAACCCUCAAGCUUAGCUUGGUAUUGAGUCUAUGUCAGUAAUGGCAGGCUCUAAAAUCAGUGGCGGCGCCGCUGGGUCCUGAACGUAGUAAUAUCUCUCGUUACAGGUUCUCGGUGUGCUUCUGCCAAAACCCAAAUUUUUCUAUGGUUGACCUCGGAUCACGUAGGGAUACCCGCUGAACUUAAGCAUAUCAAUA